rnacentral:rRNA from 2 species
UGGGGAAUAUUGCACAAUGGGGGGAACCCUGAUGCAGCAACGCCGCGUGAAGGAUGAAGGUUUUCGGAUCGUAAACUUCUAUCAGUAGGGAAGAAAAAAAUGACAGUACCUAACUAAGAAGCCCCGGCUAACUACGUGCCAGUAGCCGCGGUAAUACGUAGGGGGCAAGCGUUAUCCGGAUUUACUGGGUGUAAAGGGUGCGUAGGUGGCAUGGUAAGUUAGAUGUGAAAGCCCAAGGCUCAACCUUGGGAUUGCAUCUAAAACUGCCGAGCUAGAGUGCAGGAGAGGAAAGCGGAAUUCCUAGUGUAGCGGUGAAAUGCGUAGAUAUUAGGAGGAACACCAGUAGCGAAGGCGGCUUUCUGGACUGUAACUGACACUGAGGCACGAAAGCGUGGGUAGCAAACAGG